rnacentral:tRNA from 2 species
GGCAGGAUAGCUCAGUUGGUAGAGCAGAGGACUGAAAAUCCUCGUGUCGGCGGUUCGAUUCCGCCUCCCGCCA